GGCAGCACUGCAUUUCAGACAUGGAGAAUCCUCUCCGGUUUCUGAAAAGCGUUCUUGCCACCUGGCUGAGCUCCACUUCCACUUCCUGGGCGAUGGAUUCCAUCCUCGCCUUCUUGUGUGGACUGGGGCUCUUCCUCGUGCUCCUUCCCUCCCUCCACAGGAAUCCAUCCUUACGACCCCCGGUGAAACGGAGAAACGUCAGGAAGCCUCUGCAGCAUCCGAUCACCCGUAUUUCCAGAGAAGAAAAGAGAAGUGGAAUCCUACAAAUCAUAAGGGGUAUUUAUGUCCAGACCAGGUGACUAUUCAGCUAUUCGGACUUGGGAUCACUGGCCAGAACUGGUCAUUGACAUCGUUCUGAGGGUGCCUCUUACCUGUGGAUUGGAGACUUCGCUCAUCUGUAGAAACCCAAGGAGGGGGAUGAGAAGAUCCCUGCAUUUCUCCUGACUUCCUUGGGGCUGAAGACAUCAGCCACGGGCUCAAGGGUCUUCCUGAUAAAGCACGCUGCUUUUCAUCAUCAGCUGUUGACUGCGUGUCACAUUUCCAGACAGGAGGUGGACACCUAGUGGCUUUCUAGGAGUCAUCCCUGCAGAAAGAAGCCUCUCACUGUUCUAAGCCCUGUAGUUCUGGAGUCAUUGGUGUGACCUCAGCAGCCCACUUUUUGGUCUCUUGCACCACAGCAAUCGAGAGCUGCAGACUUAGAUUCUCUAUUGUUGACUGUGACUGAGAUCUUGAAUCCACCUCAGUCUAGCAGAAGGACUGGCAAACUAUGACCUUGGGCCAAAUCUGGCCCUCCACCUGUUCUUGAAAAUAAAGUUUUAUUGGAAUUCAG
rnacentral:lncRNA from 1 species